CGGGGAGAUACUGAAUUUUGAUCUUUCCCAUUUUGAAAAGUUCAAUGUUUCCUUCAAUGAUUUCACUGGUCCUAUUCCUGUUGUGACGGGACAAUUCGAUGAAAGCAGCUUCAUGGACAAUCCUGGAUUAUGCGGGCCCCUAUUGAAAAGAGAUUGUUAUAUUCAGGAGAAUUCAACAAAUGUUGAAGAUGGGAAGAAAUCAAAAGUUGUCUCAAAAGAUGAGAUUCUUAUGUACUCUGGCUAUAGUUUACUGGGCUUGGUUGUUAUCAGUGUCAUCAUUUACAAGCUGG
rnacentral:misc_RNA from 1 species